UAAAGAUUCAUCGCUGAUAGAUAGGCAUGCGUUCCAUUAGGCAGUUGGCGGGGUAACGGCCCACCAAACCGACGAUGGAUAGGGGUCCUGAGAGGAAGGUCCCCCACAUUGGUACUGAGACACGGACCAAACUCCUACGGGAGGCAGCAGUGAGGAAUAUUGGUCAAUGGGCGUAAGCCUGAACCAGCCAAGUCGCGUGAGGGAUGAAGGUUCUAUGGAUCGUAAACCUCUUUUAUAAGGGAAUAAAGUGCGGGACGUGUCCCGUUUUGUAUGUACCUUAUGAAUAAGGAUCGGCUAACUCCGUGCCAGCAGCCGCGGUAAUACGGAGGAUCCGAGCGUUAUCCGGAUUUAUUGGGUUUAAAGGGUGCGUAGGCGGCCUUUUAAGUCAGCGGUGAAAGUCUGUGGCUCAACCAUAGAAUUGCCGUUGAAACUGGGAGGCUUGAGUAUGUUUGAGGCAGGCGGAAUGCGUGGUGUAGCGGUGAAAUGCUUAGAUAUCACGCAGAACCCCGAUUGCGAAGGCAGCCUGCCAAGCCAUGACUGACGCUGAUGCACGAAAGCGUGGGGAUCAAACAGGAUUAGAUACCCUGGUAGUCCACGCAGUAAACGAUGAUCACUAGCUGUUUGCGAUACAGUGUAA
rnacentral:rRNA from 1 species